rnacentral:rRNA from 1 species
UGGGCUUGACGUGUACGUAGUAGUGAAGGGAAACCGGAACGACCCCUCGGGGAGCGUACACAGGUGCUGCAUGGCUGUCGUCAGCUCGUGUCGUGAGAUGUUGGGUUAAGUCCCGCAACGAGCGCAACCCUCGUCGUUAGUUAUACGUGUCUAACGAGACUGCCGGUAUCAAGCUGGAGGAAGGUGGGGAUGACGUCAAGUCAGCAUGGCCUUUAUGUCCAGGGCUACACACACGCUACAAUGGGCGGUACAAUGGGCAGCGAAGUCGCGAGGCGGAGCGAAUCCCAUCAAAGCCGUUCGUAGUUCGGAUUGUAGGCUGCAACUCGCCUGCAUGAAGCCGGAGUUGCUA